rnacentral:rRNA from 1 species
AUACGGAGGGUGCGAGCGUUGUUCGGAAUUAUUGGGCGUAAAGAGCAUGUAGGCGGUCUGUUAAGUCUGGUGUGAAAGCCCGGGGCUCAACCCCGGAAGUGCAUUGGAUACUGGCAGACUUGAGUAUGGGAGAGGAAAGCGGAAUUCCGAGUGUAGGAGUGAAAUCCGUAGAUAUUCGGAGGAACACCAGUGGCGAAGGCGGCUUACUGGACCAAUACUGACGCUGAGAUGCGAAAGCGUGGGGAGCAAACAGGAUUAGAAACCCCGGUAGUCC